GACGAACGCUGGCGGCGUGCUUAACACAUGCAAGUCGAACGGAAAGGCCCUGCUUUUGUGGGGUGCUCGAGUGGCGAACGGGUGAGUAGCACGUGAGUAACCUGCCCUUGACUUUGGGAUAACUUCAGGAAACUGGGGCUAAUACCGGAUAGGAGCGCCUGCUGCAUGGUGGGGGUUGGAAAGUUUCGGCGGUUGGGGAUGGACUCGCGGCUUAUCAGCUUGUUGGUGGGGUAGUGGCUUACCAAGGCUUUGACGGGUAGCCGGCCUGAGAGGGUGACCGGCCACAUUGGGACUGAGAUACGGCCCAGACUCCUACGGGAGGCAGCAGUGGGGAAUAUUGCACAAUGGGCGGAAGCCUGAUGCAGCAACGCCGCGUGCGGGAUGACGGCCUUCGGGUUGUAAACCGCUUUCGCCUGUGACGAAGCGUGAGUGACGGUAAUGGGUAAAGAAGCACCGGCUAACUACGUG
rnacentral:rRNA from 1 species